UGGGGAAUAUUGCACAAUGGGGGAAACCCUGAUGCAGCGACGCCGCGUGAGCGAAGAAGUAUUUCGGUAUGUAAAGCUCUAUCAGCAGGGAAGAUAAUGACGGUACCUGACUAAGAAGCUCCGGCUAAAUACGUGCCAGCAGCCGCGGUAAUACGUAUGGAGCAAGCGUUAUCCGGAUUUACUGGGUGUAAAGGGAGCGUAGGCGGCAUGGCAAGUCUGAUGUGAAAUCCCGGGGGCUCAACCCCGGCAGCUGCAUUGGAAAAUGCAUGUCAGGCGCUGGGAGUGUCGGAGAGGUAAGUGGAAUUCCUAGUGUAGCGGUGAAAUGCGUAGAUAUUAGGAGGAACACCAGUGGCGAAGGCGGCUUACUGGACGACAACUGACGCUGAGGCUCGAAAAGCGUGGGGAGCAAACAGGAUUAGAUACC
rnacentral:rRNA from 1 species